UGCGCAGGCGGCCGUGUGUGUCAGGUGUGAAAUCCCGGGGCUUAACCCCGGAACUGCGCCUGAAACUACAUGGCUAGAGUAUUGGAGAGGGUAGCGGAAUUCACGGUGUAGCAGUGAAAUGCGUGGAUAUCGUGAGGAACACCAGAGGCGAAGGCGGCUACCUGGACAAUUACUGACGCUCAGGCACGAAAGCGUGGGGAGCAAAAGGGAUUAGAUACCCCUGUAGUCCACGCCCUAAACGGUGCACACUAGGUCUUGGCGGAUUCGACCCCACCAGGGCCCAAGCUAACGCGUUAAGUGUGCCGCCUGAGGACUACGGCCGCAAGGCUAAA
rnacentral:rRNA from 1 species